GCUGAAUGUGGGGAUAAUUUAUCUUUGUAUUGUAGCUAACGCGUUAAGCACUCCGCCUGGGGACUACGGUCGCAAGACUAAAACUCAAAGGAAUUGACGGGGACCCGCACAAGCGGUGGAGCAUGUGGUUUAAUUCGAUGCUACGCGAAAAACCUUACCACUUUUUGACAUGAAGGUCGUAUCCCUCCUAACAGGGGGAGUCAGUUCGGCUGGACCUUACACAGGUGCUGCAUGGUUGUCGUCAGCUCGUGUCGUGAGAUGUUGGGUUAAGUCCCGCAACGAGCGCAACCCUCAUUCUUAGUUACCAACAGGUAGUGCUGGGCACUCUAAGGAAACUGCCAGUGAUAAACUGGAGGAAGGUGGGGAUGAUGUCAAAUCAGCACGGCCCUUAUAGGGUGGGCUACACACGUGCUACAAUGGCAACUACAAUAGGUUGCAAGACCGCAAGGUUUAGCUAAUCCAUAAAAGUUGUCUCAGUUCGGAUUGUUCUCUGAAACUCGAGAGCAUGAAGUCGGAAUCGCUAGUAAUCGUGGAUCAUCACGCCACGGUGAAUACGUUCUCGGGUCUUGUACACACUGCCCGUCACGCCAUGGGAAUUGGCUUAACUCGAAGCUGGUGUGCUAACCGAAAGGAAGCAGCCAU
rnacentral:rRNA from 1 species